CAACCUUGAUGAGCUGGAAGGGGUAUCUGUUGAGUCUCCUCUUGGAUUUCAAAUCUCCCUGAUUUUUUGGUUUGAGAUCCAUACUAUAUUCAAAUGACCUGACUUCAUGCUCAAGGGGGAUUAAAGUUCUACUUUAAACCUUUAAGAGGAAAUCUCUGAAGAAAUCGUGGAUGGAAAUCCUGGCCAGUUACAUUCACUGAACCUUGAAACAAUUGUUACAAGAAACUCAACACGCCUGACUCAGGGUUACUGUUCAUUCUUCUGGAAGCUGCAGAGAAAGGGAACCUGGAAACCUGAAAAAAAAAACUAUACUCACGGGAUCCUGAAGACUAAAGAUGAUUUGACAAAUGACAGCAGUUAUUCAUCAGUGACUUUACUUAUAUCUUAUUUUUUUUGCCACCCUGUGAUGCUAUCGCAAUUUGGUUUUUGUUGCUCUUACAAUUCCUUACUGAAACAUAUUCUCCCCAGAUUACCCAUGUGGAAUAGGACCAUCUGAGAAUGAGUUUUUCUAGUGAUGUGGGACUAAGCUCCUGAACAUAAAAGGAGCCAAAAUUGUUUGAGUUCAUCUACAAUGCUUUCUUUGAAAAACCCUGAUGAAAAGUGGGGAGAGGAUAAAAGAAAAAUCUCUCGGAGCUGUCUGAGGUAUUUGAGGUAUGCAAAAUUUAUCAGGUCCAGAGAGACAUGAGUAUGGGAUUUUAAUUAUAUUCCCGUAUCCAUGCCUGGAGGCAAUUGUUUAGAAACAUUUUUAUUCCUGAAUUGCUGCCUCACCCGUUAUCUUCAUGUUCCUGGAAUUUGUAAUACAAAGAACAUUGUAUAGCCAAUCAAUAGCUUAUGUAAAUAAAUGUAAACUCUUGGUAAACAACUUAGAAACAUUCUCUCUUUUUUUCCUCAAAAACCUACUUAUCAGGGCUGCUAAUUGGAGUGUGUAUUCAGGGCAACUUGAAUCUAUGCUCCCAGGAGGCCAUACUUAAC
rnacentral:lncRNA from 10 species